ACUCCCAUUCAGGAUGACCUGCAGCUGUUGCAGCCUCUUUGAAGUCUGCUUGGAGAUACUUGUCAUAGCACUGCAAUAUGAAAUAGAUGCCACAGCUUGCGGAGGGCUUCUGCUGAUUAUACUGGGGGAACUGAAUGUAGGAGCAUUCUUCGUUCCUUGCCUCCAUACUUUACUUGCUCCUUCUGCAUUCUCAGGUACAUUUAUGAAAAGAACAUUUGUGCAGAAGAAGCACCUGCUGUGAAGCCUUAUUUUCUCUCCCAAACUACCUAGAGUUACGCUUGUCAUGGCGCCGA